rnacentral:rRNA from 1 species
UACGGAAGGCAGCGGUGGGGAAUAUUGCACAAUGGGCGCAAGCCUGAUGCAGCCAUGCCGCGUGUAUGAAGAAGGCCUUCGGGGUUGUAAAGUACUUUCAGUCGUGAGGAAGGUGUUAAGGUUAAUAACCUUAGCAAUUGACGUUAGCGACAGAAGAAGCACCGGCUAACUCCGUGCCAGCAGCCGCGGUAAUACGGAGGGUGCGAGCGUUAAUCGGAAUUACUGGGCGUAAAGGGCACGCAGGCGGUUAAUUAAGUUGGAUGUGAAAUCCCCGGGCUUAACCUGGGAAUGGCAUUCAAGACUGGUUAGCUAGAGUCUUGUAGAGGGGGUAGAAUUCCAUGUGUAGCGGUGAAAUGCGUAGAGAUGUGGAGGAAUACCGGUGGCGAAGGCGGCCCCUGGACAAAGACUGACGCUCAUGUGCGAAAGCGUGGGGAGCAAACAGGGAUUAGAUACC